CAGUCGCCGCGGUAAUACGAAGGGUGCAAGCGUUAAUCGGAAUUACUGGGCGUAAAGCGUGCGUAGGCGGUUUGUUAAGUCUGUUGUGAAAUCCCCGGGCUCAACCUGGGAAUGGCAGUGGAUACUGGCUCGCUAGAGUGUGUCAGAGGAUGGUGGAAUUCCCGGUGUAGCGGUGAAAUGCGUAGAGAUCGGGAGGAACAUCAGUGGCGAAGGCGGCCAUCUGGGACAACACUGACGCUGAGGCACGAAAGCGUGGGGAGCAAACAGGAUUAGAUACCCCCGUAGUCCCUGUCUCUUAUAC
rnacentral:rRNA from 1 species